UGACAAUCGUGGGCCUUAUAUCGUUACGUUCAUAUAUAUAUUUAUAUGUUGAUUUAGAAAGGGGAUCUGACUCUGUCAAAUCAAUCCAAGAUGACUUCUCUAAUAUCUGUUCCAGUUCGUGAACCUUAUAAAUUGGUUAAUCAUCAGUUUGAUGGACAACCAAUAACGGAAGUGGCUAGUAUCUUUCGACCUGAUUUUGACACGUUUAUAACCGGGAAAGAUAAACUACAUAAAUGGGCCAUGUGGAGAACAAAUGUCAAUCAUUCCUUUAUCAGAAAUCUACCUGUUCCAUCACGAAAUGCCCAGCCUGUGGAUGAAGCAACAGUAAGAGAGAAGAGAAUUGAUAUCGAUCGUUUUUUAAUCUAUUCCGACACCGAUGAGCUGAAACGUUUACACAUGAAAGACACGUACGGUACUUGUGACUAUUUUACAUCACGAUUGGGCGAAUCAACGUAUUUCCUGUAUGGCUUGCCGCGCAUAUGUCUUCAAAGUGCACCGCCCGAAUCUCGCCAAGUCAGAACAGAAACCAUAGUGAUAGAAGAACCCGAGCCGGUGCCACCACCGCCUAAACCCCAAACACAAAUGUUUGUUGGAGCUGGUCAGUUAGCUAAACAUUUGGAUGGUCAAUCUUUAAAACCCAUAGAACUAUCUCAUGCUCAGAAAAUCAAGUAUGGUCAAAUACCGGAGAAUCUAACAGCAAGUCUAGCCCCCAGUGUGGCCCCCAGUGUGGCGCCUAGUGUGGCCCCUAGUGUGAGAACUAUAGCCCCAACCGAAGUCUACCAGGAAGUGUGGAAGAAAACGUAUCUGGUGAAGGACAACCAUGAUGAUAUGUCUGUCCAUGAUUUCAGAUGGGAUUCACGUACCGUUGCUAGCGAUACGGAUGAUUCCGAUAAAAUUGCGGGUAAUGGCUACAUUACCGUAGACAAUGAAAUCGAGAGUUAUCACUUUUAAAACCCGAACUCAGAUUGAAUGUGGGUGUUUCUACAAUUCGUAUUUAUUCCCAAUUGUAAAGUUAUUUAGACAUAUAUGCCUGCUUUUCAUAGUUAAUAUGGAUGCUGAAAAGUAUGACAAUGCCUGGAGAGUAACUUUGUUAAACAAACAUUAUUCAAGUGCUAAAUCUGCCUAUUUGCAAGUCUUUCUUUAGGCCUUAAAUGUUAUAUAAACUAUUAAUUAGACAUUUAUUAACAUGACAGGACCAUAAUCAACUCUCGAUGCCAUCUGAUGGGUACGAUGUUAAACAGAUUUGAAUCCAACCUGCGAUGCAACGGCUGUUUAUUAUCGUAACAACGGCAACAAUGAUAAUCGAGUCUACAGCGUUUUUUAAAUUCGGUUUUCUCGUCUCAGAGUGAAGUAGUUUGACUGAAAUAUUCAGCAUAUUCCCUUUGCAUUAUCUAGUGUUUAACUACUAUCUAAUCUUCCAUGAUGCCCCUUUAACGUUAUGGACGAAGUAAAAUGAAUCUGUUGUGAAAUGGAGACUGUUACAAUUGCAGUAGCCUAGCUUAAGCGGGGCGUGUACUCUUUAGGGACUGCACUUUUUUUUUUCUUUUUUUUUUUGGUUUACUGCAUUGAAAACAAGUUUGUUGUUUCUGUCGGAACAGUGAUUGUUUUUCAAAUUUUAGUUUCGUUUCGCACGAAAGCCCAGCUUACUGAUGUGGAACAUACCUUGGCCGUCACAAACCCACUUUCCACCCGCUCCCUAGCCAAUUCAACAGCAAAUUUGUUUUCAGAAACCGAAUGGCGGAUUAUUUUUUGCUUUGCACUCUACGCUUAAUUACCAUUGCUUAUAAUACAUAUCUUCACGGUAAGAUAAAAACAUCAAUAUUGAUAGAAAUAGACUGUUAUUGAAUUCGUGUAUUAAAGUCGCAGAUUAUGGAUGUUAUUGAGUUAGAAAUUU